GACGAACGCUGGCGGCGUGCUUAACACAUGCAAGUCGAACGGAAAGGCCCUGCUUUUGUGGGGUGCUCGAGUGGCGAACGGGUGAGUAACACGUGAGUAACCUGCCCUUGACUUUGGGAUAACUUCAGGAAACUGGGGCUAAUACCGGAUAGGAGCUCCUGCUGCAUGGUGGGGGUUGGAAAGUUUCGGCGGUUGGGGAUGGACUCGCGGCUUAUCAGCUUGUUGGUGGGGUAGUGGCUUACCAAGGCUUUGACGGGUAGCCGGCCUGAGAGGGUGACCGGCCACAUUGGGACUGAGAUACGGCCCAGACUCCUACGGGAGGCAGCAGUGGGGAAUAUUGCACAAUGAGCGGAAGCCUGAUGCAGCAACGCCGCGUGCGGGAUGACGGCCUUCGGGUUGUAAACCGCUUUCGCCUGUGACGAAGCGUGAGUGACGGUAAUGGGUAAAGAAGCACCGGCUGACUACGUG
rnacentral:rRNA from 1 species